AUCACUAGGUAAUAAUUUAAUGUGGAAAUUACAUGGAGGCAGAUUUUUUAAAUUUCAACUUCAAGAAUCAAUUUUAACUUUAGUUUAUACAAAAAUCAGGUAAUCAUAAAACUAAAUCAAUCUAUAUGCCCACCUUACCUCAAUCCAUCGCACCAAAUUUCACUCCCAAACCUACUCAUUUACCCCUCUCCCUUCUCUCUCUAUAUCCCUCCAUUAUCUCUCUAUAUUUCUCCAUUCUCUCUUCUUUCUCUUAAACUUCCGCCAUUGUCGGUGUGGCGUUGCUUGACGUAGCUACAGUUGCGAUGACACCGUCUGCGUGCAUUUCCACUACAGCAAUGUCGAUGAUUUGAGCGAUGGAACAACGUUCAUAGUGGAGGAAUUUGAUGCCGGAAAUGCAAGUCAAAGUGAAGGAAGACGGUGAAGCGAAAUCCACAACGACAGCUACGGCUGUGGAUGCAGGGGAAGAGAUGACUCUGAGGGUCUUUGGGGUUUCAAUUGGGGUAAAACGCGCAAGGAGUGAAGACGACUUGAGAGAAGAUCUAGUCCCAUUUUCGCUCAUCCUUGCUGCAGCUGUGGCUAUGAUGUAAUUGUCGUAUUUUGGACCUGAAUUUGACGUUGGUUGUGUAGUGAUUUUAGAUCUGGUUUUGUGGUGGUUGUGUAGUAAUUUAGGUGGGUUUUGUUGGUGGAUAUGGUGUUGGCUAUGUAGUCAGGCGGCGGUGCUCGUGAGGUUCUGAUAAUGUUGGCAAUGCAAGUGAGAUUGUUGUGUAAGGUGGUUGUGGUCUUGGUUGCGUAAGAUUGUUGUAGCCAAUUAUUUAUUGGAUUAUGUUAUGUGUACACUUUUCAUGAAGACAACAGUUGACACCCUCUCACAUGGAAGGAGUCCACGCACAAUUUAGUUGAUUAUGACCAAUAUGUGAUCGAUUAAAUAUAUAAUUUGUGAAAAAUAAAUAAUGUAUGAUAUAAAAAAG
rnacentral:lncRNA from 1 species